UACGGGGGGGGCAAGCGUUGUUCGGAAUUACUGGGCGUAAAGGGCGCGUAGGCGGUCAGCACAAGUCAGUUGUGAAAUCUCCGGGCUUAACUCGGAAAGGUCAACUGAUACUGUGCGACUAGAGUGCAGAAGGGGGCAACUGGAAUUCUCGGUGUAGCGGUGAAAUGCGUAGAUAUCGAGAGGAACACCUGCGGCGAAGGCGGGUUGCUGGGCUGACACUGACGCUGAUGCGCGAAAGCCAGGGGAGCGAACAGG
rnacentral:rRNA from 1 species